GACGGGGGAUGCAAGUGUUAUCUGGAAUCACUGGGCGUAAAGCGUCUGCAGGUGGUUUCCUAAGUCCACUGUUAAACCUUGAGGCUCAACCUCAAAUCUGCAUUGGAAACUAGGAGACUUGAGUAUAGUAGGGGUAGAGGGAAUUUCCAGUGGAGCGGUGAAAUGCGUAGAUAUUGGAAAGAACACCGAUGGCGAAGGCACUCUACUGGGCUAUUACUGACACUCAGAGACGAAAGCUAGGGGAGCAAAUGGG
rnacentral:rRNA from 1 species